CAAUGAAUCCUGACAUAAAAUGAACAUAUUUAUGUUUCUUUCUCUAGCAUUAUUAACCUUUAGAGUAUGCGAGUUUUGUGACAAAAUCAGGGUGUAACUGCACAAGGGUUGCAAUAGUGUUGUUCUUGUUCGUCCAUUCUUAUUUGUUACAUGAUCUGAAGAAUUCGUCAAUUUAAAUGGUUCUGUUUCCUUUUUUGGUGCUUUUUUUCAAUCGAGUGUCUAUUGUUCAUAGGUUUUUGGGGAGCCAUCUGACACUCAGACGUUAGCACUGCAAGAAAGCCCUCAGACUCCAGGGGUGACUAGUCAGAGGUUGGAUGACGCCCAAAAAACACUUAGGCUGCCCAAACCUGAGUCAGAGGAGGGUUGAAUGCCAUCUGCAUCCGUUGUCGUCCAAGACCAUGCUCCACAAGUCUUUAUGCGCACUGAGCAAUACCAUUUCUGUCAUCACUCUAGAGAGGGUUAUUGCAAAAUUAAUGGCCCCUUGUUAUUAUUUGCCUUUUCAGUUAGCAUUGCAGAUUUCUAGUUUUUCCAUUUACAGUCAAUUAGAUGAUUUUGGCCUUUCUCCUUCCUUUUGCAAAUUCUGGAAUGAGAUGCAGCUGGAAGAGUCCUACAGGGUUGUCACACUGUUGUAGUAUUUUGAAAUUUUAUUGCUAAAUUGCAU